AUCUAUCUUCACUAAGGAAGACACAAACAAUCUCCCAGAUGUAUUCGAGGACAGAGGACCGAGGGUGACGGCGGACCUGAAGGAAAUUCAAAUUAGGCAGGAAAUAGAGUUAGGUAGAUAGGUG